AGGACUCUUUUUUUAUUGCAUUUGCACAGCAAUUUCUAAGUCAAAUAAUGAAGCCUCCCAAGUUUUCUGCAAGGAUAUCCCAGACUUCCUGCUUGUACAAGGUGUCACCUCUCAUCUCUGCAAGUCUUGUGUGGUUUGAUUGUUGGACAGCUGUUGGACUAGAGAGACAACAAACACCGAGGAUAUAAUCAAAGCUCAUGGGACCAAGCAGAAACUGUUGUCUUCAGCAGGAUUUUAUCUCAGGCUAGAAGCACUCCAAUAUUUCACAGUAAAGACAAGCCUCAGACUUCCAGAAGAAGUUUUCCUUUGUUCUACUUUAAUCAAUCAGUGAUAAUUAACCAACAUUUAGUUUCGGCUCGAGGAAGGAAUGACAGAAAUAAUUAUGUCCUGAGACAGACAUCCCAUCAGCUUCUCCAAACCUAUUAACUGCCUCAGAUGAAUUAGCAAUCAAUGAAAUGAGAUUAAAAAGUCUAACACACAAACCAUCUCCAUUUCCAUCUCUAGAGCCAGGAUGACACAAAAUUACUACUCAGCCGCUGCAUAUGUUCCUAUAAAUGCACCAUUAUUCUGUCCAUAAAACAGUUUUGCUGGUUCAUCCCAGGACAUGAGUUCCUCUGACACUGAAAUACAAUGUGGACUUGCUCCUAACUGAUCCUGAGCAGGGAAUGGAAUAACCACUCCUGACAUGUCUGUUUAUAAGGCACCAGCUAAACAACUGUGUUAUCACAGAAUACUCAAUCGAGAGUUUUGUUCUAUAGGUACAGGUGGCCCAUUGUAAAAGAAAUUUGCGGUCUUGAAGAGAGGUUAUUGUAGACAGAUUAAAGAUAUGAAAAAUAUAAAUACUAGUGUGAAAUAGGAGGAUAAGGCUGUGGUAGUUUUAGUUACUUACAAGGGGUAGCUCUGCCUUCUUUGUUUGACUUAAUGUAAACAUUUGUUUAGGAUAGGAUGCACAGCAUCCUAGACUCCCUGAACUGUGCCAGUGCAAUCCCACUGUCUAUAAACACUGGAGAUGAAUCAGAUGAAUCCUGCCAAACAUCUGCUUUCAUUUAUCAAAACAAGGUUAAGAAACUUGAUCACAAUUUAUAAACAUCUCUUGGGAAGGGACUUAACACAAACAGAAGGGAGAUGGUAGCACUGAAAGGGAAGCUGAGCCCCUCCAGCAGUGUCCGGCUCAUAACACCUGGUAUGAGCAGUAGCAGUCACCGAGAUCAUUAUUGGUGAGACAGCACCGUUAUUUUUAUGAUGAAUAAAUAGACUAAGCCCAAAGUGACAUAAGCCACUUGGUAGUGUCAAGCAGUCAGAUUUAUAUCUAAUCUUCAUAGCUGCUUUUCAAUAGUCUCCACUUGUUUGGAGCUCCUAGCAUUUUGAUUUUAUCAUUAUACAUGCCUGCUGUGCUUUUUUUCUUCAAAAUCGUAAAUGAAAUUAUUCUUGAGUCCUGCAGGUUUCUUGUGUGGACUUUUCUAACCUUAGCAGUGAGUAAAAUUACAUGGUCUUAAUCCAGCAAGCCAAGCAUAAACUGUAUUGGAGAACAGUCUUUACCAUCGGUGCCAGUGUUCAGUGUGACUUGGAAUCCAUGAGGAAUUCCAGAAAAACCCCCACAUUGUGAUAAUAUUUACAAAAUAGGAGUAGCUUGCUCAAAUCUGAGGAAUCCAACAGACUAGCACCUUUUAGUCAAAAGAAAUGUGCUUUUAGUAAAGGUAACUUCUUAGCCAGACUUCUCAGUUGCAAAUAUUAAUAACUUUACCACCACAAGUCUCUCUAGCAGCACUCAGAAAAAUCUAAAUUUUUAUUAACUGUAAGAACAUACAAAGAUUGCCUGAGUGAUACAGACUGGGAAGACACGUGAGAGAUGCCAAAUCUCCAAGCUCAGAGUAAAAAACCAACAAAACAAAAAACCAACCAGCCAAACAAACAAACAGAAAUCCCAAACAAACAAACAAACAAAAAACCACAAAAAACCCCA